UACGUAGGGGGCGAGCGUUGUCCGGAAUUACUGGGCGUAAAGGGCGCGCAGGCGCCGUGUAAGUCCGCUGUGAAAGACCGGGGCUCAACCCCGGGGUGUCAGCGGGGACUGCACGGCUGGAGUCCCGGAGGGGGAGGCGGAAUACCUGGUGUAGCGGUGGAAUGCGUAGAGAUCAGGUGGAACACCGAUGGCGAAGGCAGCCUCCUGGACGGGUACUGACGCUGAGGCGCGAAAGCGUGGGGAGCGAACGGG
rnacentral:rRNA from 1 species